UACGUAGGGGGCAAGCGUUGUCCGGAUUUAUUGGGCGUAAAGAGCGUGUAGGCGGCCAAGCAGGUCCGCUGUGAAAACUCGAGGCUCAACCUCGAGACGUCGGUGGAAACCGUUUGGCUAGGGUCCGGAAGAGGAGAGUGGAAUUCCCGGUGUAGCGGUGAAAUGCGCAGAUAUCGGGAAGAACACCCGUGGCGAAGGCGGCUCUCUGGGACGGUACUGACGCUGAGACGCGAAAGCGUGGGGAGCGAACAGG
rnacentral:rRNA from 1 species